rnacentral:rRNA from 1 species
UACGUAGGGUGCAAGCGUUGUCCGGAAUUAUUGGGCGUAAAGAGCUCGUAGGCGGUUUGUCGCGUCUGCUGUGAAAACCUAAGGCUCAACCUUGGGCUUGCAGUGGGUACGGGCAGACUAGAGUGCGGUAGGGGUGACUGGAAUUCCUGGUGUAGCGGUGGAAUGCGCAGAUAUCAGGAGGAACACCGAUGGCGAAGGCAGGUCACUGGGCCGCAACUGACGCUGAGGAGCGGAAGCAUGGGGAGCGAACAGG